GUGGUAGGUGGCCCGCACAUACCUUGCCUUCUUAAGUGGCUCAGAACCUGCAGGCAGGAAGCUUGCAGGGAGAAGCUGAGGCCCUCACCCACCAUAUGGGGCUGCCGUCACCAGCAAAUGGGCAGCACACUCCUAACACUCAGGCCCUGAGGAUAAAAGGUGGUCUGAGUCUUCAACUAACUCGGGAGCCAGGAUUGUCCAAAUUGGGUUUCUGUCACCUGUAACCAAAGAUCCCUGCUGACACAGCCCCUGAGUUGGUCAGACUGAGAGGGACAUUUAAGCUAACUCAGAGAGGCUGACUGUAUCAGGAAGCCAACUGACUCAUUUCCCGUGAGAAAUGCCACUGCUCCUUGGGUCAACCUUUCACAUCAUUACUGCCGGUGUCUCCUUUCCCUGGAGAAAAGCCACCCGGAUUGACGACUGGUCUCUUGAGCAGGCCGCGGUGCCAGCGAGGAUCUAUAGCUAGAGGCAUCAGGCACGGACUGCCCAGGGGUCCAAAAACUGUUUCCGUUAAUGUCCAGACAGUAAAUAUUUUAGACGCGGCGGUCUCUGUCGAAACCAUUAAACUCCAUCAUACUGCAGUGUGUAAACAGCCAAAGACAGCAUGUAAAUGCAUGAGCAUAGCUGUGUUCCAAUAAAACUUUACUUAUGGACAUUGAAA